UACGUAGGGGGCAAGCGUUGUCCGGAUUUAUUGGGCGUAAAGAGCGUGUAGGCGGCCAGGUAGGUCAGCUGUGAAAACUCGAGGCUCAACCUCCAGACGUCGACGGAAACCGUGUGGCUAGAGUCCGGAAGAGGAGAGUGGAAUUCCUGGUGUAGCGGUGAAAUGCGCAGAUAUCAGGAAGAACACCAAUGGCGAAGGCAGCUCUCUGGGACGGUACUGACGCUGAGACGCGAAAGCGUGGGGAGCGAACAGG
rnacentral:rRNA from 1 species